AAAUUAAUUAGUUAAAAGUGGUAAUUCAGAAUAACU
rnacentral:tRNA from 1 species